rnacentral:rRNA from 1 species
UACAGAGGGUGCAAGCGUUGUUCGGAAUUAUUGGGCGUAAAGCGCGUGUAGGCGGCUUGGCAAGUCGGGUGUGAAAUCUCGGGGCUUAACUCCGAAACUGCAUUCGAUACUGCCGUGCUUGAGGACUGGAGAGGAGACUGGAAUUUACGGUGUAGCGGUGAAAUGCGUAGAGAUCAUGAGGAAGACCAGUGGCGAAGGCGGGUCUCUGGACAGUUCCUGACACUGAGACACGAAGGCCAGGGGAGCGAACAGG